UUUCUGGUUGAUCCCGCCGGAGGUCACUGCUAUCGGGGUUCGAUUAAGCCAUGCGAGUCGAGAGGGUUCGGCCCUCGGCGUACUGCUCAGUAACACGUGGAUAACCUGCCCUAGGGAAGGGGAUAACCCCGGGAAACUGGGGAUAAUACCCUAUAGAUUACAGAUGCUGGAAUGCCCUGUAAUCCAAAGUUCCGACGCCCUAGGAUGGAUCUGCGGCCGAUUAGGUUGUUGUUGGGGUAAUGGCCCAACAAGCCCGUAAUCGGUACGGGUUGUGGGAGCAAGAGCCCGGAGUUGGAUUCUGAGACACGAAUCCAGGCCCUACGGGGCGCAGCAGGCGCGAAAACUUUACAAUGCGGGCAACCGUGAUAAGGGAACCUCGAGUGCCUGUAAAUGCAGGCUGUUCAGGUGCCUAAAACACACCUGAAGAAAGGGCCGGGCAAGACCGGUGCCAGCCGCCGCGGUAAUACCGGCGGCUCGAGUGGUGGCCGCUUUUAUUGGGCUUAAAGCGUUCGUAGCUGGGUUGUUAAGUCUCUUGGGAAAUCUGGCGGCUUAACCGUCAGGCGUCUAAGGGAUACUGGCAAUCUUGGAACCGGGAGAGGUGAGGGGU
rnacentral:rRNA from 1 species